rnacentral:sRNA from 1 species
UUUCUCUCGCCAGGCGUCCUCGUGGAAGUGACAUCGUCUUUAAACCCUGCGUGGCAAUCCCUGACGCACCGCCGUGAUGCCCAGGGAAGACAGGGCGACCUGGAAGUCCAACUACUUCCUUAAGAUCAUCCAACUAUUGGAUGAUUAUCCGAAAUGUUUCAUCGUGGGAGCAGACAAUGUGGGCUCCAAGCAGAUGCAGCAGAUCCGCAUGUCCCUUCGCGGGAAGGCCGUGGUGCUGAUGGGCAAGAACACCAUGAUGCGCAAGGCCAUCCGAGGGCACCUGGAAAACAACCCAGCUCUGGAGAAGUCAGUUCCCCUGGCAGUCCUUUCUCCCCAGUGCCCGUCUCCCUCUUCCUGGAGAAUGGUGCUGAAAGGUGAUUGUCUCCCAUAAACUUGUUUGCAGACUGCUGCCUCAUAUCCGGGGGAAUGUGGGCUUUGUGUUCACCAAGGAGGACCUCACUGAGAUCAGGGACAUGUUGCUGGCCAAUAAGGUGCCAGCUGCUGCCCGUGC